GACGAACGCUGGCGGCGUGCUUAACACAUGCAAGUCGAACGGAAAGGCCCUGCUUUUGUGGGGUGCUCGAGUGGCGAACGGGUGAGUAACACGUGAGUAACCUGCCCUUGACUUUGGGAUAACUUCAGGAAACUGGGGCUAAUACCGGAUAGGAGCUCCUGCUGCAUGGUGGGGGUUGGAAAGUUUCGGCGGUUGGGGAUGGACUCGCGGCUUAUCAGCUUGUUGGUGGGGUAGUGGCUUACCAAGGCUUUGACGGGUAGCCGGCCUGAGAGGGUGACCGGCACAGGUGGGACUGACACGCGGGCAGGGUGGGGAGGGGGGGCAGAAGGUGGGAAUGUGGCGCAAGGGGGGGAGACGGCAGGCAGCAGCGGGGGGGGCGGGUUGAGGGCUUGCGGGUGGUCACCCGGUGGCGCGGGGGGCGAAGGGGGGUGGAGGGUAGUGGAGAAAGAGGCACGGGCUAAGUCCGUGCGAGCGUCGGCGUGAGAAGCGAGGAGCACUCGUUUCAUC
rnacentral:rRNA from 1 species